UAGUCUGCAACUCGACUACAUGAAGCUGGAAUCGCUAGUAAUCGCGAAUCAGAAUGUCGCGGUGAAUACGUUCCCGGGUCUUGUACACACCGCCCGUCACACCAUGGGAGUCAGUAACGCCCGAAGUCAGUGACCCAACCUUUUAGGAGGGAGCUGCCGAAGGUGGGACCGAUAACUGGGGUGAAGUCGUAACAAGGUACC
rnacentral:rRNA from 1 species